AACUGCGAUGCUAGAGUAUCGGAGAGGAAAGCGGAAUUCCUAGUGUAGCGGUGAAAUGCGUAGAUAUUAGGAGGAACACCAGUGGCGAAAGCGGCUUUCUGGACGACAACUGACGCUGAGGCGCGAAAGCCAGGGGAGCAAACGGGAUUAGAUACCCCGGUAGUCCUGGCCGUAAACGAUGGAUACUAGGUGUAGGAGGUAUCGACCCCUUCUGUGCCGGAGUUAACGCAAUAAGUAUCCCGCCUGGGGAGUACGGCCGCAAGGCUGAAACUCAAAGGAAUUGACGGGGGCCCGCACAAGCGGUGGAGUAUGUGGUUUAAUUCGACGCAACGCGAAGAACCUUACCAAGCCUUGACAUUGAUUGCUAGGGACAGAGAUGUCCCGUUCCUCUUCGGAGGACAAGAAAACAGGUGGUGCACGGCUGUCGUCAGCUCGUGUCGUGAGAUGUUGGGUUAAGUCCCGCAACGAGCGCAGCCCCUAUCUUCUGUUACCAGCGGUUCGGCCGGGGACUCAGGAGAGACUGCCGCAGACAAUGCGGAGGAAGGCGGGGAUGACGUCAAGUCAUCAUGCCCCUUAUGGCUUGGGCUACACACGUACUACAAUGGCUCUUAAUAGAGGGAGGCGAAGGAGCGAUCCGGAGCAAACCCCAAAAACAGAGUCCCAGUUCGGAUUGCAGGCUGCAACCCGCCUGCAUGAAGCAGGAAUCGCUAGUAAUCGCAGGUCAGCAUACUGCGGUGAAUACGUUCCCGGGCCUUGUACACACCGCCCGUCACACCACGAAAGUCAUUCACACCCGAAGCCGGUGAGGUAACCGCAAGGAGCCAGCCGCCGAAGGUGGGGGCGAUGAUUGGGGUGAAGUCGUAACAGGUAACCGUA
rnacentral:rRNA from 1 species